UUAGAGUUUGAUCCUGGCUCAGGAUGAACGCUAGCGGCAGGCUUAACACAUGCAAGUCGAGGGGCAGCGCGAGUGGCAACACUUGGCGGCGACCGGCGCAAGGGUGCGUAACGCGUGAGCAACAUGCCCUCUUCACGGGGAUAACCCGGAGAAAUCCGGCCUAAAACCCGAUGGUGAUUUGGACAGGCAUCUGUUCUAAUCUAAAACUUCGGUGGAAGAGGAUUGGCUCGCGUGACAUUAGGUGGUUGGUGGGGUAACGGCCCACCAAGCCUACGAUGUCUAGGGGAACUGAGAGGUUGGUCCCCCACACUGGAACUGAGACACGGUCCAGACUCCUACGGGAGGCAGCAGUGAGGAAUAUUGGACAAUGGAUGGAAAUCUGAUCCAGCCAUGCCGCGUGAAGGAAUACGGUCCUAUGGAUUUUAAACUUCUUUUGUACGGGAGCAAUAAGGCGCACGCGUGCGCCGAUGAGAGUACCGUACGAAUAAGCAUCGGCUAACUCCGUGCCAGCAGCCGCGGUAAUACGGAGGAUGCGAGCGUUAUCCGGAUUUAUUGGGUUUAAAGGGUGCGUAGGCUGCGUGUCAAGUCAGCGGUGAAAUGUAAGGGCUUAACCCUUAACGUGCCGUUGAUACUGACGUGCUGGAAUUCCGUUGCCGUGGGAGGAAUGUGUAAUGUAGCGGUGAAAUGCAUAGAUAUUACACAGAACACCGAUUGCGAAGGCAUCUCACGAAGCGGUGAUUGACGCUGAUGCACGAAAGUGCGGGGAUCAAACAGGAUUAGAUACCCUGGUAGUCCACGCAGUAAACGAUGAUAACUAACCGUCGGCGAUAGACAGUCGGUGGCCAAGCGAAAGCGAUAAGUUAUCCACCUGGGGAGUACGACCGCAAGGUUGAAACUCAAAGGAAUUGACGGGGGCCCGCACGAGCGGAGGAACAUGUGGUUUAAUUCGAUGAUACGCGAGGAACCUUACCCGGGCUCGAACGGCAGAGGAAGGACCCAGAGAUGGGAACGCCCUUCGGGGCUUCUGUCGAGGUGCUGCAUGGUUGUCGUCAGCUCGUGCCGUGAGGUGUCGGCUCAAGUGCCAUAACGAGCGCAACCCUUGUCACUAGUUACCAGCAUGUAAGGAUGGGGACUCUAGUGAGACUGCCACCGCAAGGUGUGAGGAAGGAGGGGAUGACGUCAAAUCAGCACGGCCCUUACGUCCGGGGCGACACACGUGUUACAAUGGUGACUACAGAGGGAGGCUACCUGGCGACAGGGUGCAGAUCUCGAAAAGUCAUCUCAGUUCGGACUGGAGUCUGCAACCCGACUCCACGAAGCUGGAUUCGCUAGUAAUCGCGCAUCAGCCAUGGCGCGGGGAAUACGAAAGCGGGCCUUGUACUCACCGCCCGUCA
rnacentral:rRNA from 1 species